CAUUAUACAUUUUGUUUAGCCAAUAAGUUACUUAAAGACAAUAAAAAUCUGAGUUCAUUCUCCCUUCUGGAAUCCCUUGAGGAAAGGAUCGAUUUCCUGAGACUAACAUGGAAGUUGGAAACUGAUCCCAGUUCCUUAAAGGACUUGCCACCAGCUAGUGUGAGGAGAGGUACCUGAGCUCACUGAGCGCCUGCCUUCUGCCUACUUAUCUCUCAAAACUAAGGGAAAAGACCACCGGCCAGAAGAACAGGAUCACCAUCACCAACGACAAGGGCCCGCUAAGCAAAGAGGAGAUCGAGAAGAUGGUGCAGGAGGCAGAAUGUACAAGGCCAAGGAUGAGG